rnacentral:sRNA from 1 species
UCAAAGGGGGAACCUCUUCUGAUCUGCUGUAACAUUCAGUUCAGAAUCUGUGUCCAGCUUGAGUACAAGUAUUGGUACUUUACCCUAACAAAACAAUAGGAAUCCUUUCUGUCGUGUGUAUCUCCAAACAGAAGAACAGAAGAACUUCUGCUUGGGUGGCUGAACUCUGAUCUUGACCUAGAGUCAUGGCCAUGGCAACCAAAGGAGGUACUGUCAAAGCUGCUUCAGGAUUCAAUGCCAUGGAAGAUGCCCAGACCCUGAGGAAGGCCAUGAAAGGGCUCGGCACCGAUGAAGACGCCAUUAUUAGCGUCCUUGCCUACCGCAACACCGCCCAGCGCC